GAUCUUGAGCCUUCGGGCAAGGGUGAAGCGAUUUAAAGGUGCAAGCCGUUGCUGAAGUGGGGUAGUGAGAAGUUACUUUUUCGGAGCUUGUAAUCCGUAGCAGAGAAUAAUUGAUUGCUUCCCUAGUAGAAGCCGCUGGAAAGCGGCGCCCAAGAAGGUGAUAGCCCUGUAUGUGAAAGGGGUAAUCGCUCUGUAGUGACAUAUCUCGAGUACUUCAGGACUCGUGAAAUCCUGGGGGAAACCAGCGUGACUAUGCGCUAAGGCUAAAUACUUUUGAUGAUCGAUAGUGAACAAGUACCGUGAGGGAAAGGUGAAAAGCACCCCGGUGAGGGGGAUGAAAUAGUAUCUGAAACCAUUUGCUUACAAAGAAUCAGAGCCCGCCUUCGCUUUUUGCUUCGCAAAAAGCUACGGCGGGGCAAGCCCGUUUUUAAAAAUUGAAGGGGGGCUUGCCCCGCCGUAGCUCAAGCGGAGCGCAGAGCGAAGGUGGGUGAUGGUGUGCCUAUUGAAGAAUGAACCAACGAGUGUGCUAUAUGUUGCUUAUCUAAUCCUUACGAGGAGUAGGUGUAGUGAAAGCGAGCUUUAACCGGCGUUUUUAGUUAAAUAGUUACUGGUUCGUUCGCGGACCGGCUAACUAUUUUUCUAAAGUGCAGCAUAUACACGACCCGAAACCAGGUGAGCUAUCCUUGACCAGGGUGAAGCGCCCGUAACAAGGCGUGGAGGCCCGAACCCACUAGCCGUGCAACACUAGGGGAUGAGUUGAGGAUAGAGGAGAAAUUCCAAUCGAACCUGGCAAUAGCUGGUUCUACCCGAAAUAGCUUUAGGGCUAGCCUUAAGUGUUCCUUAUUGGUGGUAGAGCACUGAAUGGGACAGGGUGGGAAACCUUACCUGUCUUAACCAAACUCCGAAUGCCAAUAAAUUAUAGCUUAAGAGUCAGACCGUGGGGGCUAAGCUCCAUGUGUCAAAAGGGAAACAGCCCAGAUCCACAUCUAAGGUCCCUAAAUUCAAGUUAAGUGUGAAAGGUGGUAUCGUGACUUAUACAACCAGGAGGUUGGCUUAGAAGCAGCCAUCCUUUAAAGAUAGCGUAAUAGCUCACUGGUCAAGUUGCUUUGCGCCUAAAAUUUAACGGGGCUAAACUUGGUACCGAAGAUUGGAGCCGAUGCUACGCAUCGGAGAUUCCAAAUUCCAAAUCACAAGAAACAAACAAAUCAUAAAUUUCAAAUAUUAAAUUCAAAACAAACUAUUAUCAAAAUGGUGAUAGAUUAAAAAAUUUGAGUUUUGAAAUUUUCCGCCAAAGGCGGAUCAGCCUCCCCUCGGCUCGAGCUCGGGACGAGAGCUGGCUGAGAUAAUUGAAUAUUGUUUGUAUCUUGGAAUUUGUCCUCAAUUAAAUUGAGGAUUGGAAUUUCCGCUGCGUAGCAGCGGCGGUAGGGUAGCAUUCUAUAUCCGUUGAAGUCGUCAGCGCGAGCUGCGGUGGAGGAUAUAGAAGAGAAAAUGUUGGUAUGAGUAGCAAAAAGCUCGGUGAGAAUCCGGGCCACCGAAAACCUAAGGUUUCCUGGGCAAUGACUUUCAACCCAGGGUUAGGCGAUCCUAAGCCGAGGCCGAAGGGCGUAGGCGAUGGAAGAGCAGGUUAAUAUUCCUGCCCUGCCUAUAUUUUCCAAUGGAGUGACGUUGCUUUAAGCUUUAAGCGUCCGUAUGGUUAUGACGUUUGCCUUUUUUAGAUUCUUCUCUGGCAAAUCCGGGAAGAACAAGUCUAGAAAAGGUGAGAAGGUUGCGGUUAUACCAAAACCAAUUUAAAGGGAAAGGUAACCAAGAAAAACUUCUAGGGUUAAAAUAUGGGCAUCCGUACCGUAAACCGACACAGGUAGGUGAGGCGAGAAGCCUAAGGUGUACGAGAGAACCCUCGUUAAGGAACUCGGCAAAACAGCGGCCGUAAGUUCGCAAUAAGGCCUCCCGCCAAAAUCGCAAGAUUUAGGCGGGCGCAGCUAAAGACUCCAAGCGACUGUUUACCAAAAACACAGGUCCCUGCUCAAACCGUAAGGUGAGGUAUAGGGGCUGAUGCCUGGCCAGUGUCAGAACGUUAAGGGGAGAGGUGCAAGCCUUGAUCCGAAGCGCUGAUGAACGCCGGCGAUAACUAUAAUCGUCCGAAGGUAGCGAAAUUCCUUGUCGGGUAAAUUCCGACCUGCACGAAUGGCAUAACGACUUGGAGACUGUCUCAACGAGGGACUCGGCGAAAUUGCAAGACGAGUAAAGAUGCUCGUUACCCAUAGCUAGACGAAAAGACCCCAUGAAGCUUUACUACAACUUGGUAUUGGAUUAAGGGUAUAGCUGUUCAGCAUAGGUGGGAGACUUUGAACCCUAAACGUUAGUUUAGGGGGAGUCGCCAGUGAGAUACCACCCUUUUAUGCUUUUAAUUCUAACCCUGACCCAUGAAUCUGGGCAGGAAACAGUAUCUGGUGGGUAGUUUAACUGGGGCGGUUGCCUUAAGAAAAAUUAAUCUCCGUUAAUUUUAGGGGCAAUAUAGUAGUAAUAUUAUAUUUUUACCGUCGCAGACCAAAUAAAAGAAAAAUACUUGGCUUAUAUGCUGGAACCCCCGGGAAUCCUCAAUUACCAAAGUGUGAAAAUAUUGAGGUGUUUCGCAAAAUCUGAAGCGGAUUUAUCCGCCGAAGCUUUAGCGAAGGCGGACAAUCAGCAGGGAAUUCUUCAAAUAAAUUUUGAAGGGGCCCUCAACGACUAGACGCUAAGCCCCAGUCUGACUGGGUGAAGAUAUAGUCUGAACUCUCCCGCACACAGCGGGAUCCCGUUUUCAGAAAAAUAUGGAGCGGGAUAUGGCGACAUAGAGAGCUUGAAUAAUUUAAGCGCCUAACAUAAUAAACUUUAUGAAAAAGUUUAAAAUUUCGUCCUAUCAAAAGCAGAUUAUUAUAGGUAAGCUUUUAGGCGAUGGCCACUUAGAAACAGCAAAUAAUAAAACUUUCCGCUUAAAAAUAGAGCAUUCAAUUAAGCAGAAAGAUUAUGUUGAUUGGCUGCAUAAACAAUUAAAAAAUUUAGCCACGAGUCCGCCAAAAAUAAAAUUGCAAAAAGUUAAUGAUAAAAUCUACAAAAAAUAUUGGUUUAAUACCAAUUAUAGCAGUUCUUUCAGAUUUUAUUACCAACAAUUUUAUCUAGAUAAAAAGAAAAAUGUGCCAAAAAUAAUCAAUAAGUGGCUUACACCAUUAACAUUAGCUGUUUGGUAUAUGGAUGAUGGAUCAAUUAAAUCAAAACAUUAUCGGGCUAAAAUAAUAAAUACUCAGGCUUUUGAUAGACUCGGCUUAAAAAGGCUACAACAAGCUUUAAAGCAAAACUUUAGUAUCAAAACAAAAUUAAGGAAACAAAAGGAAGGCUGGCAAAUAUAUAUCUUGGCCACCGAAAUUGACAAAUUCAAUCAGACAAUUAAAAAGUAUAUUUUACCAAGCUUUAAGUAUAAAUUAGGUUAACAAAAUGCCCAAAAUGUAACGGAGGCGUUUACAAAGGUUGGCUAGCUCCCGAUGGAAACGGGAUGUUGUCGUGCAAACGCAUAAGCCAGCUUUACUGCAAGGGUUACAACCCGCGCAGUUGCGAAAGCAGAAGUUAGUGAUCCGACCGUACAUGCUGUAUCCACUGUUCAUCUUUUAGGUGAAAAGUGGUUAUAGCUUCGAUAUAGGACGGCGGAAGCUCAACGGAUAAAAGUUACUCUGGGGAUAACAGGCUGAUCGCGCCCAAGCGUCCACAGCGACGGCGCGGUUUGGCACCUCGAUGUCGGCUCAUCGCAUCCUGGGGGUGAAGAAG
rnacentral:rRNA from 1 species